UUCCUGUGGCUCAGUUGGUAGAGCAUUGUGCUAUCAACGAAAAGGUUGUGGGUUCAAAUCCCAGGGAAA